rnacentral:rRNA from 1 species
GUGCCAGCCGCCGCGGUAAUACAGAGACUGCGAGCGUUAUUCGGAUUCACUGGGCGUAAAGGGUGCGCAGGCGGCCGUGUGUGUGAGGCGUGAAAGCCCAGGGCUUAACCCUGGAAUUUCACCUCAAACUACAUGGCUAGAGCAUUGGAGAGGGAAGCGGAAUUCACGGUGUAGCAGUGAAAUGCGUAGAUAUCGUGAGGAACACCAGAGGCGAAGGCGGCUUCCUGGACAAUUGCUGACGCUCAGGCACGAAAGCGUGGGGAGCAAAAGGGAUUAGAUACCCCCGUAGUCC